UACGGGGGGAGCAAGCGUUGUUCGGAUUUACUGGGCGUAAAGGGCGCGUAGGCGGUCGUGACAAGUCACUUGUGAAAUCUCCGGGCUUAACUCGGAACGGUCAAGUGAUACUGUCGGACUAGAGUACAGAAGGGGCAACUGGAAUUCUCGGUGUAGCGGUGAAAUGCGUAGAUAUCGAGAGGAACACCUGCGGCGAAGGCGGGUUGCUGGGCUGACACUGACGCUGAAGCGCGAAAGCUAGGGGGAGCGAACGGGG
rnacentral:rRNA from 1 species